AGUGCUGUGACUUAGUUGGUAAAAGCACCUGUCUAGUAAACAGGAAAUCCUGGGUUCAAAUCCCAGCAGUGCCU
rnacentral:tRNA from 1 species